ensembl:lncRNA
AUGCCUGGGGUGACUUGCGUGGAGCGAUGGCCUCGCUGUGGCGCUCCAAAGAGGCGACCAACAGUGAGGAAGUCAAUGCGCCAUUGUGUAUCGAGUUCGUCGGCUACAUUUUUGGAUAGAUUAUCCCGCGAGAUCUCGCUUUCUUCCGGAAGUUCCCUUCCGGAAGUUCUGGUACAUCAAGCAGGCAACCACCACGAGGAGGAGAGGACUCGAAGAGGGCUCUUGGAGGGAGAUUUGUCGAUAUAAAUUACAUAAAAUCUACCAUGGGGUAAGUACAUUUUGUAUUAUUUGAUUAAUGUGCUUGAGUUUUAGUUGUUUGACACGAAGGAACCGAGAGAAAUGAUGCCCACGUUGUCAACUGAAAUUCACUGAGUAUGGCUAAAAUUAGCUAACGUUAGAAGGCUAAAAGUUACUUAUAUUGAUGUGAUUUUUAUUUGUACGCUUUAAUUAAUUAUUCAGGGGACAACACAGCUCUCCUGUCUUAUCAGAAAUGUCCUGUUCACUUUCUCACAGUUACACUGUGAGUGUUUCUCAAGGGCAUCACAUUAAAGCAUAACACCUUUUGUAUAAUAAAAAUAAAAUCUAAUGCUUGUUGAUUACCUUUUUUUCCUAAUGUUUCAUUCAUGAUUCAUUCAUCUUGGUCCAAGGGUUUUUUUUUUAGUUGUAGACCAUAAAGAUAUUUUGAAAAUAAGUGCAUGUCAUUUAUCUCAAAUGUUUUAUUUUAUUUAUUUUAAAAAGAAAUGUGUUCUCUUCCCUCAGAUGCUGUGAAGAGGUGGAGACUCUGAAUGGGAUGCAGCAAUGACAGAACACCUGAAGCUAGCUCCGGGAAGAGAUGGGGGUGUAGGUUACAAGAAAUGAGCCAAACAACUGUAAUGUGUUUAAGGGAUAGUUCAUCCAAAAAUGAAAAUAGUCAUAAUUUUCUCACCCUCAUGUUACGAUCAUAAUAAUUUUUCCUACAGUGGCAGUUAAUGGAUUGUGAGAUCUGCUUGGUUACAAACAUUCUUCCAAAUAUCUGUGUGUUUAUGAGACAACUGUGUAAGUCAAUGACAAGAUUAAUAAAGAAUUGAUAAAAAGAAACCAUCUUUUAACAUUCUAGUAGAAAACAUUCUCAGAAAUGUAAUAUUUUAAUUAAUGUCGGUUCUAUACAGUUUAAAAACAUUUACCCCACUUUGAUUUCAUAAAUAGCAAUGAUUUCAAACAUAUUUUAUGAUGAGGGUCUUAUGUUUUAUGAUUUUCUUGUCACAAGACAACAAUGGCUCCUGCAAGGUGUUUAUGCCACAUGUUCAAAUAUUAAUAAUGUUCUUAAUCUUAUAUGAUUAAUGUAUUUUAAAAUAAAUGUAAUUAUUAUUGAUUUAUAUAUUAAAAACAUUAAUAAACACUGCAAAUAGAAAUUUUGAACAAUAAUAAUGGACUUUAAGAUUGAGUAUUUCAGCCCUUUUUAUUCAGUGAUGCCCCUCAUUAAAUCAUAUUUCUGAUGAAAAAAAUGGUAGGCCUGUAAACUUAUUUCAGAAAUCCAAAAUGGAUACAAAGAUAACAUUUGAAAAACAAAUUUUUAAAUAUAUUAUCAUCUUUAAGAUUCUUAUUUGUCAUUGUCCCAGUAAAGCAAACAUGAAAACAAUAGAACACAGAAAGGUAUACAGGUUUGAAACAUGAGUUUGAGUAAAUGAAAGAAUUUUCCCUUUAUAUAAUAAUUCAGUAUUUUGUAAUUAGUAUUUUAUUUUGGUUAACAGAUGCUAAACUGUUCAAAAACAAUAAAAUGUGCUAAAUCAGAACAUGCUUCUUUGUUUGCAUAUGACCACAAAUAAUGUGUUAUUGUUAGUGAUGUACACGUGAUUAAGAUGUUUUAUGGACGUUCAUGUCUGACUGGACCGAUCUUGAACUUCUGUCAAGAUGUGUUAAACCUCAAGAC